rnacentral:rRNA from 1 species
GACAGAGGGUGCAAACGUUGUUCGGAAUUACUGGGCGUAAAGCGAGUGUAGGCGGUUUGGUAAGUCGGAUGUGAAAGCCCUGGGCUCAACCCAGGAAGUGCAUUCGAUACUGUCAAGCUAGAGUAUCGGAGAGGUUGGUGGAAUUCUCGGUGUAGAGGUGAAAUUCGUAGAUAUCGAGAGGAACACCGGUGGCGAAGGCGGCCUUCUGGACAGUGACUGACGCUGAGACGCGAAAGCGUGGGGAGCAAACAGG